CCUACGGGGGGCAGCAGUGGGGAAUAUUGGACAAUGGGGGCAACCCUGAUCCAGCCAUGCCGCGUGUGUGAAGAAGGCCCUCGGGUUGUAAAGCACUUUCAGUGAGGAAGAACGCCUGGUGGUUAAUACCCAUCAGGAAAGACAUCACUCACAGAAGAAGCACCGGCUAACUCCGUGCCAGCAGCCGCGGUAAUACGGAGGGUGCGAGCGUUAAUCGGAAUUACUGGGCGUAAAGCGCGCGUAGGUGGCUUGAUAAGCCGGUUGUGAAAGCCCCGGGCUCAACCUGGGAACGGCAUCCGGAACUGUCAAGCUAGAGUGCAGGAGAGGAUGGUAGAAUUCCCGGUGUAGCGGUGAAAUGCGUAGAGAUCGGGAGGAAUACCAGUGGCGAAGGCGGCCUUCUGGACUGACACUGACACUGAGGUGCGAAAGCGUGGGUAGCAAACAGGAUUAGAUACCCGAGUAGUC
rnacentral:rRNA from 1 species